rnacentral:rRNA from 1 species
AUUGAGCGCUGGCGGCAUGCUUUACACAUGCAAGUCGAACGGCAGCGCGGGCUUCGGCCUGGCGGCGAGUGGCGAACGGGUGAGUAAUACAUCGGAACGUGCCCAGUAGUGGGGGAUAGCUCGGCGAAAGCCGGAUUAAUACCGCAUACGACCUGAGGGUGAAAGCGGGGGAUCUUCGGACCUCGCGCUAUUGGAGCGGCCGAUGGCAGAUUAGCUAGUUGGUGGGGUAAAGGCCUACCAAGGCGACGAUCUGUAGCUGGUCUGAGAGGACGACCAGCCACACUGGGACUGAGACACGGCCCAGACUCCUACGGGAGGCAGCAGUGGGGAAUUUUGGACAAUGGACGAAAGCCUGAUCCAGCAAUGCCGCGUGUGUGAUGAAGGCCUUCGGGUUGUAAAGCACUUUUGGCGGGAACGAAAAGGACUGUGCCAAUACCACGGUUCGAUGACGGUACCCGCAGAAUAAGCACCGGCUAACUACGUG